UACGUAGGGUGCAAGUGUUGUCCGGAAUUAUUGGGCGUAAAGAGCUCGUAGGCGGUUUGUUGCGUCGGCUGUGAAAUCCCGAGGCUCAACCUCGGGUCUGCAGUCGAUACGAGCAAACUAGAGUGUUGCAGGGGAGACUGGAAUUCCUGGUGUAGCGGUGAAAUGCGCAGAUAUCAGGAGGAACACCGGUGGCGAAGGCGGGUCUCUGGGCAACAACUGACGCUGAGGAGCGAAAGCGUGGGGAGCGAACAGG
rnacentral:rRNA from 1 species